rnacentral:rRNA from 1 species
CUACGUGCCAGCAGCCGCGGUAAUACGUAGGUGGCAAGCGUUGUCCGGAUUUAUUGGGCGUAAAGCGAGCGCAGGCGGUCAAUUAAGUCUGAUGUGAAAGCCCCCGGCUCAACCGGGGAGGGUCAUUGGAAACUGGUUGACUUGAGUGCAGAAGAGGAGAGUGGAAUUCCAUGUGUAGCGGUGAAAUGCGUAGAUAUAUGGAGGAACACCAGUGGCGAAGGCGACUCUCUGGUCUGUAACUGACGCUGAGGCUCGAAAGCGUGGGUAGCAAACAGGAUUAGAUACCCUGGUAGUCCACGCCGUAAACGAUGAGUGCUAAGUGUUGGAGGGUUUCCGCCCUUUAGUGCCGCAGCUAACGCAUUAAGCACUCCGCCUGGGGAGUACGACCGCAAGGUUGAAACUCAAAGGAAUUGACGGGGGCCCGCACAAGCGGUGGAGCAUGUGGUUUAAUUCGAAGCAACGCGAAGAACCUUACCAGGUCUUGACAUCCCUCUGACCGCUCUAGAGAUAGAGUUUUC